GUUCAUGUGUCUUAAUUCUUGAUUCAGAAAAGCUAUCAACUGUAUUCUCCAUAUCUCAAAGUUAACGUGUCCAAAAUAAAAUGUCUCAUCUUCUCAUGCCAUCUAGUUCUUCCCGCAGUGCUCCCAUCUUGUGAAUGGGGAUGGCCUCCUACCAUGGGUUGGGGCCCCAAACCUUGAGGCCGCCCUGCUCCUCCUUUUCCCUCCCCUCAUCUUCAGUGGCUUGGUACAUCCCAUCAAGAGAUAUCGGAAUCCCUGCACGCUGCCAGGGUCCUUCUGCUGGUGCCCUCCGACCAUCAACUGGAAGAGUGAAGUCGCCCCCAGUAGUCUCUCUUCUUCUGCACUUGCUCCUUACAGUCCUCUCAACACAGGGACCAGGGUACCCCCUUUCUAGGUGUAAAUAAGUCUGCUCUGCACUCAAAGCUGAAGACAGCACGUAGACCCCUCGGGCGGUGUCCUACCUGAACUCCAAGUUCUCACCAUGGCCUGUGGACAGCCCCAUGGGCACACCCACCUCGUCUGUCUUCUCUACCCCUUGCUCAACUCCACGCAGCCCAUCCGCCUUCCCAGAACGUGCUUGGCAGCUCCGACCUCACACCCAUGUUUCGGCCGGGAACGUUCACCUGCCAUUGUCUGUGUGACUCAGUCCUCUCCUCGUGCAGGUCUUUACUCAACGUCAUUUCACAGAGACCCUUCAGGACCAGCAAAGCCCUCCCUGCCGCCCCACCCAGCACUCCCCACCUCCCUCCUCUGCUUAGUUUGUUUCAUGGGAGUCACCUGGUGUAUUUCAUAUUAUAUUCUUCUGCUUUCUUGUCUGUCUCGUGCAUCUGGACCUCUGCACAAAGGAUGGGUUUUGUCUCUUUGGCUGACUGCAGUGUCCUAAGACACUUAGUGCCUAGUAGCUCUAGUAACUGUUUGUUGAAUGAAUGAAUGAGUGAAUGGAUGCAUAGUCACUAAAUCAGAAAUCGUGGAUACUGUAAUCAUAGAACAUUAGGUCAUAAAUACCAAGGAUCCUGAGGAAGAAGAAGAAAGAAUAUCUAUGAUUUGGACAGCCAUUUUUCCAAUUGUGGAACAUUGUUUAGCAUUUCAAAUAAUGAAAAUAAACACAUAUAGAAGGCUUACUAUGUGCUGGGCAUUGUUCUGUUUUAUACAUAUUAACUCGUUUAAUCUGUGCAAUGCACGUAGGAGUUUAUGGAGUUUCCUCAUACCUUAUCUCAUUCAGUUCCCAAAAUAAUACCAGCAGAUUGUGGGUGAUUACAACAUUUUCAAGGAUUCUUCCCCAGGGCAGCUGCUUGUGGGAGAGCUGAGGUCUAGAAAGGAGGAGUUGAGAGCAGGAAAGGAACCAAGCCUGACCCCACCCCCAUGCCAGCAUUUUGAUUUAUGGAACCCUGGGAGAAGAGUUUCUCCAAAAUGAUACUUCAUGGCCUCCAGCAGAUCCCCCUCAAAGAAACCAACCUGGGAAUGACCCUCUGUGUGGAGAUCAAGGAGGAAAGAGGCAAGUGAGCCUUUCUUUUCUCCUGCUCGUGGACUUAGAGUAAGAGUGUCUGGGACAUCCAGGUAUAUACUAUUUCCAUUUUUCCUUUUGACAUCUUCGAUGAUCAAGAUACCUGCUAAGGAUUUGUUCAGAAAUCAGAAUUAGUUGUAAGGCAGUUGCCUGAACAACUGAAAGCGUAAUGACCCCACAGAGAGCACUAAGGCAACAGAAAGUACGGCGAGGUGGGAUUAUUAGGUUGGUGCAAAAGUAAUUGUGGUUUUUGCCAAUACUUUUAAUGGCAAAGUUUUUUUAAAAAGUAUUUUUAGUAGAGGCAGGGUUUAGCCAUGUUGAUCAGGCUGGUCUUGAACUCCUGACCUCAGGUGAUCCGCCUGUCUUGGCCUCCCAAAAUUCUGGGAUUACAGGCAUGAGCCACCAUGCCCAGCCUUUUUUUAAAUUUCCAUUACUUUUAAUGGCAAAAACUGCAAAUUACUUUCACACCAAAUUAAUAGGAUAUUUGAUGAGUUUUAAUAUAAUUAUCGUUUUUACCACAAUUGACCUUCCCCUACUCUUACCCUC
rnacentral:lncRNA from 1 species